GAUUGUGGCUCAGUGGGAGAGCACUCACCUGGCACAUGCGAGGCCCUGGGUUCGAUCCUCAGCACUACA
rnacentral:tRNA from 1 species